UGAACGGAGUUCAAGAAGAUAACAGUUGUCCCAACUUAGCUGAAGAAUUCUACCAAGUUGAAAAGAUCAGAAAGAAGAGAUGUCACAAGGGGAAAGUGCAGUACCUUGUGAAAUGGUUUGGAUGGCCUGAAAACACCAACACUUGGGAACCAGUGGAGAAUCUGUUAAGUUGUUCAGAUCUCGUCGACUG